rnacentral:misc_RNA from 1 species
UACGGAGGGUGCAAGCGUUGUUCGGAAUCAUUGGGCGUAAAGCGCGCGCAGGCGGUUCUUUAAGUCGACCUGUGAAAGGCCGGGGCUCAACCCCGUGCUUGCAGGCGAUACUGGGGAACUGGAGACAGGUAGAGGCAAGCGGAAUUUCGGGUGUAGCGGUGGAAUGCGUAGAGAUCCGAAAGAACACCGGAGGCGAAGGCGGCUUGCUGGACCUGGUCUGACGCUGAGGCGCGAAAGCGUGGGGAGCGAACAGG